AGUGCGGAGUUGUUCUGAAUCUUUUUUUUCCAGGCAAAGCAAAAGGUUUCUCGGUGUAACCGUGAUGGGAACAUCCUUCAGAGAUCAAGGCUCUUGCCUAGACAUUUCCUUGAUUCCUCUGUUGGCCAACACAGCUGCUCUUUAGCUAUCACUCUCACUGUGCUUGGUGAUUGAGACUUAAAUGUCACCCUAUUUUGUUCUGGACAGUUUAAUAGUUCCCUAGGAACUGUUGUUUCUUUAAGUUGGGGAGAUAACGAAAUUUAGAGGAAGUGAGAGGUGUAGGUGUGCACCAAGACAAGAGUGAAGCACCGUGUCCAAAAUCAGCUUCCAGCCUGGCAGGCUGCGUGGAAGGGGCAGCAAUCCAUUCUAGUGCUGGCAAACAACGACAGCCUUGGAGAACCACUCGGAGCCACAUGUCUGAGAAAGAGGAAUUGCUUGAGUCCAGAACUUGAUGAGGCAGUGCACUUUUGCGAGUGAACCAUGGUCUUACUAUGUAGACCUGGUUGGCUUUAGAUUCACCACAUAGAACAGGAUGGCUUCCACUCAUCAAGAUUCAGCCUCCCACCCCUUCUACAGACUGUUUGGGAUAAAGGGACUAUGGUGAUGCAUGAGAGUAUGUGGGACAAACAAUGAUGCCACUGGGAUACUGACAGUGAUCUACUUUGUAUGCCAGAUGUGCUUAUGGUCUGGAGAAAAUUGCACAACAUCUGUCAGACAAAGACUUUAUUUGGGACAGUGGAACCGGAGCAUGGGUGUAUACUAAUAACCAGAAACCCAGCUCCCCAAAGAAUUGUACUUCAUUGCAUAGGAAAAACAAGCAGCUGGGUUUUGCGUUGUGCAACAUGUUUAUGCUAUACUCCAAAACAACCACAAAGACCACAAUAUUACAUUGUGACAGCUCUUGAAGUUUAACUGUCUCCACUAAUAAAGAUCAACUUUUAACAACCAA